rnacentral:lncRNA from 1 species
GAGGCCUCUCCAGCUGAUACCUAACGUGUGCAUGGCAUGUUAGAGACCCACAGUGGAAAGCAGCACAUCGGCAUGUGGUGAAGCUGUAGAAAGUGUGGUAGGAACAGGGCCUGAGUCAGGCCCAAGGCCAUGGAGAAUGAAGUGGACCACUGGCCUCCCUCAUAGCAGAUCUCAUAGAAAUGCUUUAGUCCCUUUUUUUUUUUUUUUUUGGAGAGCUACCUGCUAUCUGAAUUCUUCUUCUGGAGCCUAAAUAUUGAUGUUCACAGCCCUAAAUGUGUUCUUAAAUGGGGAAGGGGCCUGAACUUCAGCAGAUAGCCUUGCUGGGAGAAAAACAGCACACAGGCCAGGAAAUUCAGACAUCCCAGAAAAUCAUUAGCUUCUAUUAGAUGACAGGGAGAAAGAAUAGCAGUCUUAUAUGUAACACAGAGUACAGUGUUUGAAAGCUGUUUAAAGACAUUUUUUCCCAAGGGCUCUACACACUUAUGGAGGUGUUUAAGGACACACUUGCGUCUGGGUGGCACGACUUUGCCUGUUGGCCCAAGCUGAAAUGCAAGGGUGUGUGUGAUCCAUUUCACCUGUGACCACACAACAAUCACACGUUUUUGUUUUGGCUGUCACUGAUCACUGAUGGGACUGGCCCCGUGGAUCCUGCCUGGUGCCUCCCGCUGGGGUGAGACUCACCGUGCUGGGGCCCAGCAGACAGUCAAUGGCCGUUUGCCUUGCAGUGCCUGUUUGUGCAUUCCCUGCGCAAGUUCUCCAUGAGGGACUGGGGCAUCGAGCAGAAGUGGAUGUCUGUCCUCCUGCUACUGCUGCUGCUCUACAAUGACCCUUUCUUCCCACUCUCCUUCCUGGUGAACAGCUGGUUCCCAGGGAUGCUGGACGACUUCUUCCAGUCUCUGUUCCUGUGUGCCCUGCUGCUCUUCUGGCUCUGCGUGUAUCAUGGGAUACGGGUCCAGGGAGAAAGAAAAUGUUUAACUUUCUAUUUGCCUAAAUUCUUCAUCGUUGGACUGCUGUGGCUGGCUUCUGUUACGCUGGGAAUAUGGCAAACAUUUAAUGAAUUAAAUGACCCCAUGUACCAGUAUCGGGUUGACACCGGAAACUUUCAGGGCAUGAAGGUCUUCUUCAUGGUGGUGGCUGCUGUAUACAUUUUAUACCU